rnacentral:rRNA from 1 species
UACGUAGGUGACCAGCGUUGUCCGGAUUUACUGGGCGUAAAGAGCGCGCAGGCGGUCGUUCAAGUCGAGUGUGAAAGCCCCCGGCUCAACUGGGGAGGGUCAUUCGAUACUGAUCGACUGGAAGGCAGGAGAGGGAAGCGGAAUUCCCGGUGUAGUGGUGAAAUGCGUAGAUAUCGGGAGGAACACCAGUGGCGAAGGCGGCUUCCUGGCCUGUUCUUGACGCUGAGGAGCGAAAGCCAGGGGAGCAAACGGG